rnacentral:rRNA from 1 species
AGUUACCAGCACGUUAUGGUGGGCACUCUAAGGAGACUGCCGGUGACAACCGGAGGAAGUGGGGAUGACGUCAAGUCAUCAUGGCCCUUACGGCCUGGGCUACACACGUGCUACAAUGGUCGGUACAAAGGGUUGCCAAGCCGCGAGGUGGAGCUAAUCCCAUAAAACCGAUCGUAGUCCGGAUCGCAGUCUGCAACUCGACUGCGUGAAGUCGGAAUCGCUAGUAAUCGUGAAUCAGAAUGUCACGGUGAAUACGUUCCCGGGCCUU